CGUAUCAAUAGAUAUAGAUCACGAUCAGAUGGCAAGUCAUUGGCAUUCAUUCUCUUUCUUCAAGUUAAAGUAUUUUGUCUUCUCACAAAAACCAAAGGGAUUUGCACCUCUCUGAGUUUAAAAGAAAAGCUUGACUUAACCGAUCCCCUCUACAGUAUAAUGGUAGGAGGCCCUUUAGCCAAGGGAGAAACAGAAUUGUUUUUGCUGAGUGAACUUUGAAGGAUGUUUCAGUUCUUGUACUACUACCAAAUUAGGGCAUCAGUUAAGACUUCACGUCGAUCUUGCUACAUAAAUUUUCUGAAAGAUAGCUGGUCAUGAUGAUACAUGGCCAGGUCUCUAUUUUUGUGGCAAUGAUUUUAAAAAUUCCAUUACUUAAACAUCCCGCUCUUUUAUUGUGACUGUAGAUUACAUAUUUGGAGAGUGAUUCUGAAGCUCUGGCUCCCAGGAAGUCAGGAGGAGUUCUGCUGUUGCUUAUUUCCAGCUCAAAAUUUCAUCCUUCCUCACAUUUUUUGCAAUGCAACUACAAUGAAUAUAAUGCACACAGCUUUGUCAUGGUAUGGUUCUGGAAAUGUACCAAGAAGUUGUUUCAAGAGCAGAUUUCAUGAUCAGUUCUUUAAAGAAAAUGUCAGCAUUUGUUCUGUACGUGGUAGAGUGGGGAAGGGAGAUAGCCUGUUGGCUGAGACCUUGGUGAGGGGAUACGUGUGUCUCAUUAUGACUAUACUACUGCUAAGAAGAAUGUAUUUUCAUAUUCUCAUUAAAAUACGUUGCUUCUCCCUCGGUACAUCAGAACUAAUAGCAACUCUGUAGUAUUCCCUGCUGAAAUGCCUAGAAAAAACACAUUCGGUUGUAUCAAUGAAAUCACUAUCACAAAGAUGUAAAUCAGUCCACUUUAGUAUCAGGUUUGACAGUAGUGGAAACAUGAAGGUAAAUGUAAGGUGCUAUUUGUGCUAUUGUAGGUAAAUGUGAGGUGCUAUUUCAACUGACUGAUGAAGUUUACAGCUGGAUAGUAGUUUGAUAAAAAACUGGAUGAAUCCUGAUAAGUUUGUGAGGGUUAGAGAGUCAUACAAGUGAGAGCACCUUGCUUUUUUUAUGGAUCAUUGUUAGAAGGAGUCAAAAUCUGUCCUGGAGUGUCAGUGGCCAACGAUUUCAGCGGUUGCCUGAAUACAACAGAACUGCAUUUGGUCUGUUUGAAACAAUAACAUUGACAUUGGAAAGCAUGAUUAUUUCAGCAAACUGUCCAUAUACAAUUUUCCAACUCUUGUGUCUUUAAGGGGUUUUUGUGUGUUUUUCAUGUGUUCCGUGCCCUAGGGCAAAAGGAACAGUGUUUUCAUAAAUGUUUAUGAGCGUGAUGGUGAAACAAAAGGAGGAGUUGUAAGCUAGGUGGAAUUUAUUUUCUCCAUACUCUUUUGGUAGUGAGGGCAAGGAUAUUUGGAAGAACAGCAGUUCUCUAGAUGCAGAAAAAACAAAAUAAUAGUAUUGUGGUUUAUGAAUUAAGAGGGAUUUGGUGAGGAAGAAGAGACAAAGAGGUAUUCUUUUAUAAUGUGAACUUUGUGGUAUAUUAAGAGCAAGAAAAGAUAUGAUUUCACAGAAUAGAGAGGCAUGACAGGUUCAAAUGAGAAGUGCAGACAGGAGGUUCUGAAACCUUUAGAAAUCACUCACCUAAACCUACAAACGUUUCAGAUGUAAACAGCAAAAUGAGUCAAGAAAAUGAGAAAGGUGAAGAUGCAUAUAAUUCCUGUGCAGUUUAAACAGUAAUUGGUUUCAGGACUCAGAACUUCUCAAGCUUAACAGUGGUUUCUGUCAGGACCUAGACAAUUUAACCAGAAGGUCUCUUCUCUCAGAAAAUAGUACUACAUGAGAAUCUGUACUUCAGAACAACAUCCAAAACCUCAAAAUAAAAUAAAAUAAAAGUUUAUGCUUUGUAAAGCUUAAAAGCAUUGCAAGGCUGGCAUGUUGAGACCCCGAUACAUUAGUCUGACAAAUGUCAAUACACAUUCCUGGGCAUCCUGGACAGAAUAUUUUUGGAGCUUCUCUGGAGGAAUGGUGCUCACUAGGGGUACUACUGUAUCAGGAUGAUGAACAUAUUCUUGCUUGGUUGUUACACUGAUAUUAAAAAGAAAGUUAUAUGCAUAAUGGAGAAGCAUUUAAAUGUCUGCCAAAUGGAAAGGGAUCCAGAUGUUGUGUUCAAAGAUAAUACAACAUCUAUCCAUCUUCUUGGGAAUAAGAAGUGUGUUUAGGUCUCGGACAAAAUAAUUUUUCAUUUGCAGAGAUUGGAAUAAAAAUUCUUAUAAGCUCAAGAUGGCAGUGGAGAAGGUCUACAAAAGACUGAUAGUUACACAGUUCAUGAAUGACAAGACUACUCAGAAGAAUACAAAUAACUACAAGCAGGAUCAGCAUCAAAUUGCACUCGAUUAUGUUAAUAGGUAAUAUAAAUAUCAUAGUCAUAAUCUGUAUGCACAGUUUUCAAGACAAUUUUUCUUCAAAAAAUUCUUCAAAGAACAAGUGAGUUGAAGGAGGGGUUGAUAGGGUCAUCCUCCUCUGUAUUUAAGAAGGAUCCAAAUGGAUGGCUGAUUGGUUUAUUGUAUGUUGGGGCCAAGUGUUAAUACCUAUUCGGAUGCAUAAGCAUCCAGAAGUGCAUGCUAGUUUUCACAGAGCAAUCAUAUAGCACAACUGUCUGUACCAAUUAGAUGUUUUAAUCAUAUUUUUCCUGUUGGUUAAGCUUCAAUGAAUCAAGCUGGUAAGUGGAUUAAAGUCUUUUAUGUGCCUUGUA